GAGAGAGUUCAGACACACCUGAAAGAGGGAACACCAGUGCAAAACAAGGAACUUGCCAUGAAGGGCUGCGUGAGAUGGCUCCUGCUCAAGGCAGGCAUUCUGCCACCCUGCAAAGUCCAUCAGAUGAGACUGAAAUGGUGAAACCCUACAGCUUUCAGAGAUCUAGGAAGGAGCACCAUGACUGAACAGGCCUGGCUGAAACACUUCAUGGCAGUGAUGCUGAUGGCGGUUGGCUGCUCAUAGAACAAGAGGAUGGGUGUUCUCCUGGCUUUGUGAGCUGUGAGAGGAGAGAAGCUGCUGGCUGGAGCUCGAUGGUGAGAGCAUGGUGUGAGCAGCGUGCAGCCAUGUGCACACUGUGUGUGCCAGAACAGACCCUUUCAAGAGCUCCAGAAGACUUUUUUAGCCUCUUUGUUUCAUCUGCAAGACCAAAAAGGAAAGAGAGGUUUCUGCAACUGGGAAGCAGGAGAAGAGAGCGGAGUGACAAGACUUCACCUGUACCGUAG
ensembl:lncRNA